GACGAACGCUGGCGGCGUGCUUAACACAUGCAAGUCGAACGCUGAAGCUCAGCUUUUGUUGGGUGGAUGAGUGGCGAACGGGUGAGUAACACGUGAGUAACCUGCCUCCUUCUUUGGGAUAACGCCCGGAAACGGGUGCUAAUACUGGAUAUUCACUGGUCUUCGCAUGGGGGUUGGUGGAAGGGGUUUUUUGGUGGGGGGAUGGGCUCGGGGCCUAUCAGCUGGUUGGUGGGGUGAUGGCCUACCAAGGCUUUGACGGGUAGCCGGCCUGAGAGGGUGACCGGUCACAUUGGGACUGAGAUACGGCCCAGACUCCUACGGGAGGCAGCAGUGGGGAAUAUUGCACAAUGGGCGCAAGCCUGAUGCAGCGACGCCGCGUGAGGGAUGGAGGCCUUCGGGUUGUGAACCUCUUUCGCUCAUGGUCAAGCCGCAACAAUGGUUGUGGUGAGGGUAGUGGGUAAAGAAGCGCCGGCUAACUACGUG
rnacentral:rRNA from 1 species